AUUCUUCAGAGAAGCCAGCCUAUUCUUAAAAAAGUUGCUGAGGAGCAAUGCUGCAGGGCUCACAUAAGAGUAAUUGUGACCCUGUCUUGUCUGAACAAAUGGGAGUUGCUGACCUGGGAAGCAAACUCUUAAGACGAAGAAUUUCCAUACAUUUGUCAAAUGCCUUCAAGUUGAAAGUCUCAUCAGAAUCCUAAUGGAUGCAGAAAUAACACCAACUUUCAGAUUAAAUAACUACCUCAAACUCUAAGUUAUAGUUUUUGUUGCUG
rnacentral:lncRNA from 1 species